rnacentral:rRNA from 1 species
UACGAAGGGUGCGAGCGUUAAUCGGAAUUACUGGGCGUAAAGCGUGCGCAGGCGGCUUUGCAAGACAGAUGUGAAAUCCCCGGGCUCAACCUGGGAACUGCAUUUGUGACUGCAAGGCUAGAGUACGGCAGAGGGGGAUGGAAUUCCGCGUGUAGCAGUGAAAUGCGUAGAUAUGCGGAGGAACACCGAUGGCGAAGGCAAUCCCCUGGGCCUGCACUGACGCUCAUGCACGAAAGCGUGGGGAGCAAACAGG